AGCGUGCGCAGGCGGUAAUGUAAGACAGAUGUGAAACUCCCCGGGCUCAACCUGGGAACUGCAUUUGUGACUGCAUUGCUGGAGUGCGGCAGGAGGGGGAUGGAAUUCCGCGUGUAGCAGUGAAAUGCGUAGAUAUGCGGAGGAACACCGAUGGCGAAGGCAAUCCCCUGGGCCUGCACUGACGCUCAUGCACGAAAGCGUGGGGAGCAAACAGGAUUAGAUACCCGGGU
rnacentral:rRNA from 1 species